rnacentral:lncRNA from 1 species
GCACACGCCUCCUACCCAAAUCACAGCCCCAUGCAGCCCGGGCUCUCAUUCACAGCUUUCUAGAGAAAUCUGAGCUCCAACUGCCAGGGUAGGGGAUCUCACCCACCCAGUUCAGCCGCGAGGACACCUGCAGAAACACAUUCUCAAAGCAAGCCUGGGAGGCGGUGUGAAGGUAUUUGUUGCCUUUUUCUUCCUUCUGUGUUCGCAGAGCCUCCCCGCCCGUCCCCGCUCUAGCGGUGCCAUGGCUGCGGCGUUUCAGCACUUCGGCGCGUGGACAGCUCCCAUCUGCAAUCCCACUGCACUCCAUCCCUUCUGCACCCCACUCUUCACCGCCUCUGCGGUCCAUCCUCUUGCCACGCCACACAGCCUGCGCUCCCCAGCCAUCAGCACCCCAUCUCCACCAUCGCCGUCAUCAUCUCCACCAGCACCGGCGCGGUAACUACAGUCCACACAACUGUGUCUUGUCACUUAGACAAAGCCUGAGGUCGGCAAGGUAGAGAGGGGAGAUCUCAAGUUCUCAGGCAUAGAAGGGAAAGUUCAGGUGGAGAGACCCCCUGAAAACAAAGAGAGACGCCUGCUCGAGAGAAAGGUGAAGUGGAGGCAGCAGGAAGAGACCCCAGCAAAGGGACAGAUGGGGACUUGCCAGACACCAGCAGUUAGCCAGCUGCCUUUCAGCAGAUUAGAGACUGUUUAGUUCAGGAAAUUAACAUGGCCUGAGGCAUAGUAUGAUUCCAGGAAGAAAUGUUAGCUCAGUCCCGAUAUUCUGGUUUUCCAAUGGAGAGUCACCAGGAAGCAGGGUGGGGGAUGAUGGGUGACUCACAGCACCCACAUGGCUGUUUUUCUUCCUAAGCAUUUACCAUAGAAACUCUGAAAUUAAGUUUUUAUUGAACUGUUUUAUAAAAUGAGAACCCCAAAGGUUAAUUUAACUCUGUGGCCAAAAUAAAAAAUAAAAUGACGGUCGUAAGAACCUAACAAAUAAGGCUAGGAGAUUCUAUUUGCUCUAACAUCUCCUUUUCUUGUCUACUUAGUUCAAUUACCCAAUCUUAAAUCUCUCCUAGAAGAAGAACAGAUAUACCCCUUGCCCAAAUGGCCAAAGUGGUAAUGAUAUUCAGAGCAGAUGGCCUGGCUUUGUUCAUUACUAGUCAAGGACUGGCUCAGAUUUGGGAGGCGAGAUUUUUGUGUGCUUUCUCAGUAAUCAGGCGAUAACACCAUUUUCCUAUAAAUAGUAAAGGGUAAUAGAGUGCAGAAAUUGAAAAGGCAUUUUAUGUAACCGUGGUUUGCCUGGCUCUGCUUUGCAGUGCUAUCAUUUUCUAUCAAAGCUGAUGGGGAGUUGGAACAUCUUUCAAAUAGCCCAUUAAUUUGGACCUGAUGGUCCAGUCCUGGGUCACAGCACCUAUUUGAUUUAACCAGGAUCGUUUGCUUUAUAAGAGCUAACAAAGUACAGCAAACAAGUGCUUUCACCUGUCAUAAAGAAGUGUCUGGAAAGGGACUCUUUGAAUUGAUUUUACCGAACUGCAAAGUAUUGUAGUUUCUUUUGCUGCUGUUUUUGUUUUGUAUAUUUUUUAUUGUUUUUGUCAACAUAAAAUCAGGAUCUUAAUCUCAAUGCGUGGUAUCUAAGUAGAAAUGUUGUUAGGUCAUUGGUCACAAGAAUAUUUAAGCUAAAGCAUAGAAAACCCCACUCAACAGUACCCUGGUGUAUUUAAUCUGUCUCUUGGAGAAGGGACACUGAAGCUAGUUUUGUUCUUGCUUCUCUUUAGAGGCACCACCCAAAAGAAAAGAGACUCACAAACAGAUAUGUUCUGGAAAAAGCUUUGUGCAAAAAUUUAUGCUCAAUAAUCUUUAUGGAUGAGGACUAGUCAUGUCAUGACAAAAGUUUGCGUAUAGUUACUAAUUAUAUGAACUUAGGCUCAGUUCUAUUUGUCUCUAAAUUUUACUCACUUUUUUAAGCUUAAAGCAUGAAAAUAUUUGGCAAAGCCUAUGCAUUUAGUCACAUAGCUACUGUCCUUAGACUGACAAUAUGCACAACAACCAGGGACUCUCAAGACUCUGGGAAAGAUU